rnacentral:ncRNA from 1 species
UUAAAAACGCAGACGGAAAAAAGUAGAUUAUUAAAAGUUACAGGGAGGAACGACGAGAUUGAGAACGUUCUAACUAGAGAUAAUUGAAAUUCACUUCUUGAGUUGUCGCUGGGAUUUAUGAUUAUCAUAAUGAAUAGUGGACCGGUCAGUAUGAUCGUUAACAAACUUAGAGUGUUAUUUAGUGUACAUCACUAAAUAAAAUUAGGGUGGUACCGCGAUGCCUCGUCCCUUUU